UUCUUGCAAAAUUGCAGUAUCCUUUAGAAAUUUCAUUAUGAACAAAACAUCUGAGAUUUUCUUGGACAAACUUACAAAGAAAUCAGACAAAAUAGGCAGCAUUAGCCUUCCCCCUUGGAGUCACAAAGUACAAGUAAUAACUUAGACCCUACUAAAACCCUCUGUAGAUAACAACAAAACAAGGCAAAAUUGCCCUUGCAUUGAACACAUACAACUCUUCCAAAUUGGAGUAAACCCCCUCAGCUCCAGCUACAGAGUCAUAUUCCUCCAUGUUACCCUCCACACUCUUCUUAACUCUUCCUGCUAUGACCCUACAGACCAGCAUUGCUCUCUUAUCACUAUUGCCAUUACUCUCCUCCGAUAUUGCAGCUUUGUCAUGUGCUUUACCACUUGUUGCUGUGGUCAGAAUUCGAUUUCCGUUGACUCCUCCAAUAGUGGAUUCUUUAAAUCCAUUUUUGAUGAUGCUGCAUACAUUACAGUGUGGAAUUGAAUUGCACAGAUUGGAUGACCCAUUUAGGCCUAGUGAGCAAGCAAAGCUGGUGCAGUAAAACCUGAGGAGCUCAUUUCCAUCUGCUAUGCAACGUGGGUGCUUCUUUGGGAGCUUGGUGGCUUUGGCUUUGAUGGAGUCUCUGUACUCUUCAAAUUUGGAGAUGGUUCUUUGGGUAUUGUGGACUUUUAGAAUCCUGUCUAUUUGGCAAACGGGGACUUCUUUCUUCAGCCAGCUUGACUGGAAUAUAAUUUCCACUAUGUUUUUGCUUGUGUCUUCUAGACCCAGCUCUGAUACUGUAAAGUGACUCCAAAUUGAAGGAGUUAACAGUUUGAGUAGUUAAUGGAAGCAUAUGUAGCCAAAGUGGUAUAAAUGGUGAUUUGAAGUAAGUAGCUAAAAGUAGCAAAAAAUUGAAUCCUACAUUUGCUUCAGAAAACUAAUUUAUGCAGUAAAAAUAUCUAGCAAAAUGAAGUAGACAAUAGAAGAGAUGAAGGGGAAGAAAAGGUCGUUUACAAGAUGGACAAGAGAGAAAUUUUGAUGGAAACUUACCUGCAUGUCUAACAGACCGAUGAAGCUCCAGAUUUUCAGCUUUCACGAAGAUCUCACCACAUUCGGGGCAUGAACAAAUGCUACUUCUCAAAGAGGGGUCUCUGGUGAAUCCAAGAACAGGAUCUACCACCAUUCUACACUCAUAGCAGCCAUAUAGUCUCCUGAAUGGCAGUCCUUUAAAGGAACCAGCAUUGUUAAUGGAGGAAUUAGAAGACACAGACAAUGAAGAUUUAUAAAAGGAAGGAACCCCAUUAAUUUCAUUCAAAGAAUCCUUCAUGGAUCUGCCUGAGGAGCCAUUGUUACUAGUUAAUCCCAUUGAAGCCCUUUUUCUUCGGACUUCAGGGGAAGCUGUUUCAGGCCUGUGCAUGACCUUUGUGUUGUUGCAUAGAGAGCUUGAACACUUAAUUUUCUUGCAUUUCUUGCUGGUUUCCUCCAGAGCUUGUUCUUGAUGCUGAUGAUGUUUUUCCUCCUUAUGCUGCUGCUGCUGCUCUUGCUUUUCCUGUUUUGGAUGCUUUAGUUCCUGUUGCUGCUGUCUUUGUAGGUCCUUGCAGGUGAAAAGACCUCUAACAGCUAACCAUGAAGGUGGUUUUUCUGAUCUUUGGGGUUGUUGGUUUUGGUUCUGGUGGAUUUUAUUGAUGGGUUUUAUUGGGGCUUUAGGUUUAGCCAUUCUGCGGUGACAAAGAACUGGGGUUUUUCUCACAUGAUCUAAACAGCUGGUGGCAGAGAAGCUUUGUUUUGUAGGAGUUUUUCUCUGGAUUAGGGAGUUAUGGUGAUCUAC
rnacentral:misc_RNA from 1 species